UGAGUAACACGCAUGCAAUCCACCUGUAACAGGGGGAUAACCCGGAGAAAUCCGGACUAAUACCCCAUAAUAUGGGCGCUCCGCAUGGAGAGCCCAUUAAAGAGAGCAAUUUUGGUUACAGACGAGCAUGCGCUCCAUUAGCCAGUUGGCGGGGUAACGGCCCACCAAAGCGACGAUGGAUAGGGGUUCUGAGAGGAAGGUCCCCCACAUUGGAACUGAGACACGGUCCAA
rnacentral:rRNA from 1 species